rnacentral:rRNA from 1 species
UGAUCCAGGGGUAAAAGGAGAAAUCCGGUGAGGGGUGAGUUCGCGUCCCAUUAGAUAGUUGGUGAGGUAACGGCCCACCAAGUCAACGAUGGGUAGCCGACCUGAGAGGGUGAUCGGCCACACUGGGACUGAGACACGGCCCAGACUCCUACGGGAGGCAGCAGUGGGGAAUAUUGGGCAAUGGGCGGAAGCCUGACCCAGCAACGCCGCGUGAAGGAAGAAGGUUUUCGGAUUGUAAACUUCUGUCCUAUGGGAAGAAGUAAGUGACGGUACCAUAGGAGGAAGCCCCGGCUAACUACGUGCCAGCAGCCGCGGUAAUACGUAGGGGGCAAGCGUUGUCCGGAAUGACUGGGCGUAAAGGGCGUGUAGGCGGCUAAAUAAGUCUGAUGUGAAAUCCCGGUUUUCAAGGUCGGGCUUGCAUUGGAAACUGUAUAGCUUGAGUGCGGAAGAGGUAAGUGGAAUUCCCAGUGUAGCGGUGAAAUGCGUAGAGAUUGGGAGGAACACCAGUGGCGAAGGCGACUUACUGGGCCGCAACUGACGCUGAGGCGCGAAAGCGUGGGGAGCAAACAGGAUUAGAUAC